CGAAGGGAAGGGAAUGGUUGAUGGGAUGGGGGUGGAUGGGAUGAGGAAGCACCAGGAACCAGCAAGAGCAAGAAGCUAAGAAGCUGUUAGCAUCCUAGGAUUUUGACUGAGCCUGGAGAAGCCCAGAGCGCUGGAAAAGAGGAGCAGAAUGGAUCCCAGGAGGAGGAAAACCCAGUUCUUCCUCCAAGCCUCCCUUCUCUUGCCAGUGCCUCCCGCUGUGGAAGCCAGAAGUCACUGGAGCCUGGCAGUGGUGCACUGCGGUUGGCUCCCACAGGAACCCACCAGAGUGAAAGACACAGGCUUUCAGCACGAGAGGAGGAUCUGGAAACGCACCAGCCGCUGGUGGACAGGAGGACGCUGUGGCCUGCGGGAGGCUGCAGAGGAGACAGACCCUGCCUCCUAACUGGAGCA